AUGAAUGCUAAGGAGGACGGUAACAUUUUUUUGGAGAGCUAUACGUUUGAUCAAGAGGUUGCUAGAAGAGAGCUUAGUAACAUGUUGGUGUUGCAUGAGUAUCCACUGUCUAUAGUGGACCAUGCUGGUUUUAGGAAGUUUGUUCAUGCACUUCAGCCACUAUUCAAGCUACAUACAAGAAAUACUAUUAGGCAAGAUAUUGAGGAAGAUUAUAACCAAGAAAGAAAGAAGACAAUUGAUUACAUGACUAUGAACCAAUCUAGGGUUGCUAUCACUACAGAUAUGUGGACUGCGGACCACCAAAAGAAGGGAUAUAUGGCUAUUACAGCUCAUUUCACUGAUGAAUCUUGGAAGCUUCGAAAUGUUAUCAUGAGGUUUGUAUAUGUUCCAGCUCCUCAUACAGCUGAAGUGAUAUGUGAAGUGCUCUAUGAUUCCCUGCUUCAAUGGAAUAUUGAUGAAAAACUGAUGACAGUGACUGUGGAUAACUGCACCACCAAUGACAAGGCAAUUGAGAUGAUUGUGGGGAAGAUAGGGAAGGAGAAGCUCCCUUUGGAAGGUACUCUACUGCAUAUGCGUUGUAGUGCACACAUCUUAAAUCUUAUAGUUAAGGAUGGAUUGGAUGUUAUGAAGUCAGCUAUAGAAAACAUUAGGGAAAGUGUGGCAUAU
rnacentral:rRNA from 1 species